CCCAAGAAAAAGAAAUUGGACAGUACAUGUGUGAAUCAAAAAUGCCAGUCCAUAACUGAAUGCAAAUCACUACCAAAUAUGCAGAUGGGAAGAACAGCUAGGAACGAUGCCUUCUCAGCAGAGCUACAGAGAAGUAUAAAUGUACCGUUUCAAAACAUCCAAAAAAGAAACAGCCGUGGAGAAUCCUCCCUUCUUUUAGCAUCCAAGACUGGGGACUUAGCUCUUGUCAAAGCCCUUGUCAAUGCUGGAGUAAGUCUUAACCAGGCAGAUUCCUCAGGAUGGACACCCCUACACGAGGCCUGUAAUCUGG